rnacentral:rRNA from 1 species
UACGUAGGGUGCGAGCGUUAAUCGGAAUUACUGGGCGUAAAGCGUGCGCAGGCGGCUGGGCAAGUCCGAUGUGAAAGCUUCCGGCUUAACUGGAAAAUUGCAUCGGAAACUGCUCGGCUUGAAGGUGGGAGAGGGUAGCGGAAUUCCCGGUGUAGUGGUGAAAUGCGUAGAUAUCGGGAGGAACACCAGUGGCGAAGGCGGCUACCUGGCCCACUCUUGACGCUGAGGCGCGAAAGCUAGGGGAGCAAACGGG